rnacentral:rRNA from 1 species
CAGUAGCCGCGGUAAUACGUAGGGUGCGAGCGUUAAUCGGAAUUACUGGGCGUAAAGCGUGCGCAGGCGGUUUUGUAAGACAGGCGUGAAAUCCCCGGGCUCAACCUGGGAAUGGCGCUUGUGACUGCAAAGCUAGAGUGCGGCAGAGGGGGAUGGAAUUCCGCGUGUAGCAGUGAAAUGCGUAGAUAUGCGGAGGAACACCGAUGGCGAAGGCGAUCCCCUGGGCCUGCACUGACGCUCAUGCACGAAAGCGUGGGGAGCAAACAGGAUUAGAUACCCCAGUAGUCCCUGUCUCUUAUAC